rnacentral:rRNA from 1 species
UACGUAGGGCGCAAGCGUUGUCCGGAAUUAUUGGGCGUAAAGAGCUCGUAGGCGGUUUGUCGCGUCUGCUGUGAAAACCUAAGGCUCAACCUUGGGCUUGCAGUGGGUACGGGCAGACUAGAGUGCGGUAGGGGUGACUGGAAUUCCUGGUGUAGCGGUGGAAUGCGCAGAUAUCAGGAGGAACACCGAUGGCGAAGGCAGGUCACUGGGCCGCAACUGGCGCUGAGGAGCGAAAGCAUGGGGAGCGAACAGG